UACGUAGGGGGCAAGCGUUAUCCGGAAUUAUUGGGCGUAAAGAGUGCGUAGGUGGUUUUGUAAGCGCGAGGUGAAAGGCUAUGGCUCAACCAUAGUAAGCCUUGCGAACUGCAAGACUUGAGUGCAGGAGAGGAAAGUGGAAUUCCUAGUGUAGCGGUGAAAUGCGUAGAUAUUAGGAGGAACACCAGUGGCGAAGGCGACUUUCUGGACUGUAACUGACACUGAGGCACGAAAGCGUGGGGAGCAAACAGGAUUAGAUACCCUGGUAGUCCACGCCGUAAACGAUGAGCACUAGGUGUCGGGGUCGCAAGGCUUCGGUGCCGCAGUUAACGCAUUAAGUGCUCCGCCUGGGGAGUACGCACGCAAGUGUGAA
rnacentral:rRNA from 1 species